rnacentral:piRNA from 1 species
CCUCUCCUAAACCCAUUUUUGAGUGCU